rnacentral:lncRNA from 1 species
UUUGUGGCUGCCCACUCCUGGUUAAAUUGCCUUUCUCCAUCCCUGUCUCUCCCUCAUAGCUUUCCACCUUCCCAUUUCACCGUGAGUCUGGGUCAACGCCGGCUGAAUCUGCAGACUGCAGACGUUUUAUCUCUUGUUGAGAAUCUGAUCCUGAUCCCCAGGAGCCUUGUGGAUAGUGAGCCUGGAAGCCUGGUUCUGGUGAAGUUGGUGCAGCCUCCUUCCCUCAACAGCUCUAUCUACCCCAUACCUCUGGUCCAGGGCUCCAGUUUUUCCCCUUGGAUGAAGACCUGCUGGGCUCAGGGCUUUAAAUCAGAUUUUGAUCCCUAUAUCCCACCUGAUAAGCUGUGGCGUGUUAAACUGCCUCUCAUGUCUCGAACCAACUGUCAAGCCAUAUUCCAGCUCCAAUCUGACUGUCCCAGUCCAGAGAUAACCAUGCCAAAUGGGACUCUGUGCACUGGCCCUCCUGUCACUUCCCCAGAGAUCACGGUGAGCCCUCUUUACCUCCAUCUGUCUCUCCUCCAUUUAUGUAAGCUCAAAGCCUGGUAUUUAUCCAUGAAUCUGUCUCCGUCUCCCCUGCCUUCCCUGCACAUGUGGUGCAUAUUCACCUAGUGACUUUCCUCUCUCCUUUUAGGUGGCAGAUGGCAGCCCUCUCCUUUGCUUCUACGCUGGUCAAUGGGUACUGCUAGGAGUGAUGACCUGGAGACCUUGCUCUUCUAAUGGCCUUCCUGAAGUUUAUGUCCCAAUUUAUCCCAUCAACACUUGGAUCCAGACCAAUUUUCUUAAUGUCAGUGUUAUCAAGGGUCCCUCGAAAGCCCCCCUUCCAAGUAUUCUCUCUACCCCAAUUCCUUAAUUCCUUUUGUGUCUAUACUGCACAAUCAAGGUUGCAAGUAUUUCUUCUUUCCCUUCACUUUCCCCUGCCUCAGAAUAUAAAAGAAAACCUUUGCAUCGCUGCAUCUGUAUUUAUUCAAGCAAAUAAAAACAAGU